rnacentral:rRNA from 1 species
AUGAGGGGAGUCUUCUGGAAUGUAAGAGGUAUAGGACAAGAUCACAAAAAAAGAUAUGUUAGGGAAAUGAUUAUGGAUCAGAAACUGGACUUUAUUGGACUCUCUGAGACCAUAAAGCAAGACUUCACAAAAAAUGAGCUACAUAAUUUG